rfam:Myotis brandtii contig150979, whole genome shotgun sequence.
CAGGGAGUGGGGGGUCCCUCAGCCCAAAUUGCGAGAGGGCACAGGCCAGGCUGAGGGACCCCACCGGUGCACA